AACACACAAAGCAUUUUUUUACUGUGAAGGUUUACAAUGUCGGCAUCGAAAUUUGCUAUAUUUUGUAUUGUUCUCAUUUGUCUUGCUGGUCUUCAUGAAUGUGCCAAUCUGGAAAAAAAAACCCAAAGGAACAUGCUCCAAAAUACCAAAGAAUGCUUGGUUCUGUAGUUCUACUACACACUGCCGAAGCACCAAAGCGGAUUGUGAGAAGAUUUGUAUCUGGUAGUUUAUGGGGCCGUUGAAUUUUUCUGUAGAAAAUUUCUAUAAUAAUAUAUUCCAAUUAUUUUCAUACUUCUAUUAUUAAAAAUUUAGAUAAUAAAUAGAAAUUCCUAUUCCACAGGAGCAGCUAGUAUUAUGUACUAAAUGUUUUGGAAUUUCUUUGAAAGAUCAAUAUAUAUAGUUGUCUUUCUGACUUUCUUCAA